rnacentral:tRNA from 1 species
GAGGGUUUAGUUUAAUGGUAAAACGUCAGUCUCCAAAACUGAAAAUGUUGUUCGAUUCCUUCAACCCUUGCCA